rnacentral:rRNA from 1 species
GGCAGGCGCUGCUAUAAUGCAGUCGAGCGGACAGAUGGGAGCUUGCUCCCUGAUGUUAGCGGCGGACGGGUGAGUAACACGUGGGUAACCUGCCUGUAAGACUGGGAUAACUCCGGGAAACCGGGGCUAAUACCGGAUGGUUGUUUGAACCGCAUGGUUCAGACAUAAAAGGUGGCUUCGGCUACCACUUACAGAUGGACCCGCGGCGCAUUAGCUAGUUGGUGAGGUAACGGCUCACCAAGGCAACGAUGCGUAGCCGACCUGAGAGGGUGAUCGGCCACACUGGGACUGAGACACGGCCCAGACUCCUACGGGAGGCAGCAGUAGGGAAUCUUCCGCAAUGGACGAAAGUCUGACGGAGCAACGCCGCGUGAGUGAUGAAGGUUUUCGGAUCGUAAAGCUCUGUUGUUAGGGAAGAACAAGUGCCGUUCAAAUAGGGCGGCACCUUGACGGUACCUAACCAGAAAGCCACGGCUAACUACGUGCCAGCAGCCGCGGUAAUACGUAGGUGGCAAGCGUUGUCCGGAAUUAUUGGGCGUAAAGGGCUCGCAGGCGGUUUCUUAAGUCUGAUGUGAAAGCCCCCGGCUCAACCGGGGAGGGUCAUUGGAAACUGGGGAACUUGAGUGCAGAAGAGGAGAGUGGAAUUCCACGUGUAGCGGUGAAAUGCGUAGAGAUGUGGAGGAACACCAGUGGCGAAGGCGACUCUCUGGUCUGUAACUGACGCUGAGGAGCGAAAGCGUGGGGAGCGAACAGGAUUAGAUACCCUGGUAGUCCACGCCGUAAACGAUGAGUGCUAAGUGUUAGGGGUUUCCGCCCCUUAGUGCUGCAGCUAACGCAUUAAGCACUCCGCCUGGGGAGUACGGUCGCAAGACUGAAACUCAAGGAAUUGACGGGGGCCCGCACAGCGGUGGAGCAUGUGUUUAAUUCGGAGCACGCGAAGAACCUUACCAGGUCUUGACAUCCUCUGACAAUCCUAGA